UCGACUUUUGUGAGACAACGGAGAAGUGCCUCCUCUAUAAGUACUCCCCUCCCCUCUAUAGCCCUCCACCAACGACGAUUGCACCUCCUUCUCUCUCUUUUCUUCCUUCAAAAUUGCAGCAUCCAGUUACCGUGCCCAUCGGAAUUUCAAGUUGUGGUGCUCGUCAGAGUCAAGUGAUGUUGCAGCCUGCCCGUUGCAUAGCAGCCCAACAUCUUCAUUCCCAUUUGGCACCAAGGCCCACUUCUCCAACGUGGUGGGCUGGUUGUUGCUCAUUGCCUAAAAGGCCCAAUUCCAAUCCCCAACUCUGUUCUCCUCUUCCAUUUUGGAUAUUAAUCCCUUUCUAUUCCCGCUGUGUGUGUGUGUGUGUGAGAGAGAGAGAGAGAGAAUGAGAGAGAUAGAGGCCCCUAGGAAUCUCCCGGCCAUAGAUUCCUGGUUCUUGCUCUCUUCUAGUACUCUAAGGUAAGCCCCCAAAGUCCCUACUUGUCCUCCUUUUUUCCUGAAUUUUUAUGGUUUUUUGGUGCUUUUUUGGUGUUUGGAUCGCUGGGUUUGCUAAAAAUGUUUUUCUUUUCAUGUAUGUGUAGGUGUGUGGUUGUAUGCAUGUGUGUGUCCGUGUGUGGUGUGGAAGGGGUUGUCUUGGUUGUAGAUUUAUUUUAUUUGCUAGAUUAUAAAUUCUAGCUUUCUCUGUGUU